rnacentral:rRNA from 1 species
UACGAAGGGGGCUAGCGUUGCUCGGAAUUACUGGGCGUAAAGGGCGCGUAGGCGGAUAUUUAAGUCGGGGGUGAAAGCCCAGGGCUCAACCCUGGAAUUGCCUUCGAUACUGUUUGGCUAGAGACCGGAAGAGGUAAGUGGAACUGCGAGUGUAGAGGUGAAAUUCGUAGAUAUUCGCAAGAACACCAGUGGCGAAGGCGGCUUACUGGUCCGGUUCUGACGCUGAGGCGCGAAAGCGUGGGGAGCAAACAGG